rnacentral:ncRNA from 1 species
AAUAGAGCGUUGAAGGGGAGCAGUAGGCCGAAGGAAGAUUCAAGAGAGCUGUUGGAAGGUGUGAAACAGUAUUUUCAGAGGCUGAACUUACCCGUGAGCUUAAUUUAAAAUAAGAGAGACUUUUUGUCUAAAAUGGGUGGUACCGCGGAAGUUUUUCGUCCCAUGG